rnacentral:rRNA from 1 species
ACAUUUGUCGUCAGAUGAACGCGGGCGGCGUGCCUAAUACAUGCAAGUCGAGCGAACAGAUAAGGAGCUUGCUCCUUUGACGUAGCGGCGGACGGGUGAGUAACACGUGGGUAACCUACCUAUAAGACUGGAAUAACUCCGGGAAACCGGGGCUAAUGCCGGAUAACAUUUAGAACCGCAUGGUUCUAAAGUGAAAGAUGGUUUUGCUAUCACUUAUAGAUGGACCCGCGCCGUAUUAGCUAGUUGGUAAGGUAACGGCUUACCAAGGCAACGAUACGUAGCCGACCUGAGAGGGUGAUCGGCCACACUGGAACUGAGACACGGUCCAGACUCCUACGGGAGGCAGCAGUAGGGAAUCUUCCGCAAUGGGCGAAAGCCUGACGGAGCAACGCCGCGUGAGUGAUGAAGGUCUUCGGAUCGUAAAACUCUGUUAUUAGGGAAGAACAAAUGUGUAAGUAACUAUGCACGUCUUGACGGUACCUAAUCAGAAAGCCACGGCUAACUACGUGCCAGCAGCCGCGGUAAUACGUAGGUGGCAAGCGUUAUCCGGAAUUAUUGGGCGUAAAGCGCGCGUAGGCGGUUUCUUAAGUCUGAUGUGAAAGCCCACGGCUCAACCGUGGAGGGUCAUUGGAAACUGGGAAACUUGAGUGCAGAAGAGGAAAGUGGAAUUCCAUGUGUAGCGGUGAAAUGCGCAGAGAUAUGGAGGAACACCAGUGGCGAAGGCGACUUUCUGGUCUGUAACUGACGCUGAUGUGCGAAAGCGUGGGGAUCAAACAGGAUUAGAUACCCUGGUAGUCCACGCCGUAAACGAUGAGUGCUAAGUGUUAGGGGGUUUCCGCCCCUUAGUGCUGCAGCUAACGCAUUAAGCACUCCGCCUGGGAGACACGAGUGG